rnacentral:rRNA from 1 species
UACGGAGGGUGCAAGCGUUAUCCGGAUUUACUGGGUUUAAAGGGUGUGUAGGCGGGCUAUUAAGUCAGCGGUGAAAUCUCCGGGCUCAACCUGGAAACUGCCAUUGAUACUAUUAGUCUUGAAUUUUGUUGAGGUAGGCGGAAUAAGUCAUGUAGCGGUGAAAUGCAUAGAUAUGACUUAGAACACCAAUUGCGAAAGGCAGCUUGCUAAACAAAUAUUGACGCUGAGGCACGAAAGCGUGGGGAGCAAACAGG